GACAUCACAUGAUUGCAGUGGUGACUUCCUGAUCUGAACUGCAUGCACACAAAAAGUCUCCAAGACAUCUUCUGAAGAAAAAGCGCCAAAACUUCACCAUUCAGGAUGAGGUUCCGAUUCUGUGGGGAUCUGGACUGUCCAGACUGGGUCCUGGCCGAAAUCAGCAUCCUCUCCAAACUCACCUCUGUGAAAAUGAAGCUCCUUUGUGUCCAAGUGGUCAAAGAUCUGUUGGGACAGUCCAUAGACUAUGACAAAGUCCACAAGCUGACUGCAGAUGCAAAGUAUGAGGCAGGGGAUGUGAAAGCCAGCAUUGCUGCACUGUCUUUCAUCUUGUGCAGUGCAGCUAAGUACCAAGUUGACGGCGACUCUUUGAGCAACGAGCUGCAACAGCUUGGUCUACCGAAGGAGCAUUCCAGCUCGCUUUGCAAGACCUACGCGGACAACCUGGGCAACCUACAGGCACAGUUCAUGCGACAAAGUCUCAAACUUUCCCAACUUGAGUCUGCAGAGUGGAGGGUGGACUACAUCUUGAGUUCGAGCGAACUGCAGGAUGUGCAGGAACCGAUGGUCCAGCUAAGGUUAAGGGUUCGAAACCCGGACACGGGAAACGUGGUGCCACAUUCCUUCACCAUGACAGCCGACAAGUUCAGGUUGUUUCUGAGCGAACUGAAGCAGGCACACCAAGUUAUGGAGGGACUGGCCUUGUAACCUGGUGCAUUGACUGAAACUAGUUUUGUGAAAACUGAUACUUGUGCUAUUAUAGCUCCAUGGUAUAACAUUGUAAAUGCAAAGCCUUUAUAAGGACGGUAAUAACAAUCAUUAUUUGACCAUGAAUAUUUUAUGACCUGGAGUAGUAGGUAGCAAGUUUUCAUACCUUAAAUCUAGGAUCUCAAUUGAUUUGUUAUUUGCCAAUUCAGAGAUAUGUAAUGUUAUGUGUUACAUUAUGUUUUGAUGCUUUGAACUGAUGCACCAACAAGUGUUAUAUAUA